rnacentral:rRNA from 1 species
AUUGAACGCUGGCGGCAGGCCUAACACAUGCAAGUCGAGCGAGCGGCGGACGGGUGAGUAAUGUCUGGGAAACUGCCUCAUGGAGGGGGAUAACUCCUGGAAACGGUAGCUAAUACCGCAUACCCUCAGAUGUGCCCCGAUGGGGUUAGCUGGUAGGUGGGGUAAAGGCUCACCUAGGCGACGAUCCCUAGCUGGUCUGAGAGGAUGACCAGCCACACUGGAACUGAGACACGGUCCAGACUCCUACGGGAGGCAGCAGUGGGGAAGAUUGCACAAUGGGCGCAAGCCUGAUGCAGCCAUGCCGCGUGUGUGAAGAAGGCCUUCGGGUUGUAAAGCACUUUCAGCGGGGAGGCGUUACCCGCAGAAGAAGCACCGGCUAACUCCGUGCCAGCAGCCGCGGUAAUAC